rnacentral:tRNA from 1 species
CGCGGGGUAGAGCAGUUGGUAGCUCGUCGGGCUCAUAACCCGGAGGUCGCAGGUUCGAGUCCUGCUCCCGCAACCA